rnacentral:rRNA from 1 species
UACCACUUUGUGAUUCAUGACUGGGGUGAAGUCGUAACAAGGUAACCGUAGGGGAACCUGCGGUUGGAUCACCUCCUUACCU